UACGUAGGGUGCAAGCGUUGUCCGGAAUUAUUGGGCGUAAAGAGCUCGUAGGCGGUUUGUCGCGUCGAAUGUGAAAACCCGGGGCUCAACCCCGGGCCUGCAUUCGAUACGGGCAGACUAGAGUUCGGUAGGGGAGUCUGGAAUUCCUGGUGUAGCGGUGAAAUGCGCAGAUAUCAGGAGGAACACCCGUAGCGAAGGCGGCACUCUGGGCCGGUACUGACGCUGAGGAGCGAAAGCGUGGGGAGCAAACAGG
rnacentral:rRNA from 1 species